UGGGGAAUAUUGGGCAAUGGGCGCAAGCCUGACCCAGCAACGCCGCGUGAAGGAAGAAGGCUUUCGGGUUGUAAACUUCUUUUACCAGGGACGAAGAAAGUGACGGUACCUGGAGAAUAAGCCACGGCUAACUACGUGCCAGCAGCCGCGGUAAUACGUAGGUGGCGAGCGUUGUCCGGAUUUACUGGGUGUAAAGGGCGCGUAGGCGGGAGUGCAAGUCAGAUGUGAAAUCCAUGGGCUUAACCCAUGAACUGCAUUUGAAACUGUAUUUCUUGAGUGUCGGAGAGGUAGACGGAAUUCCUAGUGUAGCGGUGAAAUGCGUAGAUAUUAGGAGGAACACCAGUGGCGAAGGCGGUCUACUGGACGAUAACUGACGCUGAGGCGCGAAAGCGUGGGGAGCAAACAGGAUUAGAUACCC
rnacentral:rRNA from 1 species